rnacentral:sRNA from 1 species
UAACAGGUCUGUGAUGCCCUUAGAUGUCCUCGGCCGCAC